rnacentral:rRNA from 1 species
UACGAAGGGGGCUAGCGUUGCUCGGAAUCACUGGGCGUAAAGCGCACGUAGGCGGAUUCUUAAGUCAGGGGUGAAAUCCUGGAGCUCAACUCCAGAACUGCCUUUGAUACUGGGAGUCUCGAGUCCGGGAGAGGUGAGUGGAACUCCGAGUGUAGAGGUGAAAUUCGUAGAUAUUCGGAAGAACACCAGUGGCGAAGGCGGCUCACUGGCCCGGUACUGACGCUGAUGUGCGAAAGCGUGGGGAGCAAACAGG